rnacentral:rRNA from 1 species
GUGGGGAAUCUUGCGCAAUGGGCGAAAGCCUGACGCAGCCAUGCCGCGUGAAUGAUGAAGGUCUUAUGAUUGUAAAAUUCUUUCACCGGGGACGAUAAUGACGGUACCCGGAGAAGAAGCCCCGGCUAACUUCGUGCCAGCAGCCGCGGUAAUACGAAGGGGGCUAGCGUUGCUCGGAAUUACUGGGCGUAAAGGGCGCGUAGGCGGACAGUUUAGUCAGAGGUGAAAGCCCAGGGCUCAACCUUGGAAUUGCCUUUGAUACUGGCUGUCUUGAGUACGGGAGAGGUGAGUGGAACUCCGAGUGUAGAGGUGAAAUUCGUAGAUAUUCGGAAGAACACCAGUGGCGAAGGCGACUCACUGGCCCGUUACUGACGCUGAGGCGCGAAAGCGUGGGGAGCAAACAGGAUUAGAAACCCUAGUAGUCC